CAAAAUUUGCCCUGAAGAACGAGAACCUGUGCCACUGCUACCAAUAAGCAAAAGGCUAAAACACAGCACAAGCCACCAAGUAAUGCCGCGAAUUCUCUUUGUCUCUCACAUGACUUAACCCUGGAGCAUUAGGGCAUGGUCUCUUUCUGACUUCUUAAUUGUGGAAUCCCCCUCACCAAAUCGCUGCAAAGGAUCAGACCAUUUUCCUGUGACAGACGCAAGCCAACCCAAGCCCCAACUAAAAUCUACUCCGAAACACCAGAAAGCCAGUGCCAGUAAGAAGCAAAAGGCUAAAGCCCCUGCAAGCUACCAAGUAUUGGUGGUGAGGGGAAAUGGCAAACUAAAACACCACACAAGCCACCAAGUGUGGGGAUAGAGAAAUGGCAAACUAAAAUGCAGCGCAAGCCACCAAGUGAUUACAGUGAGAGGAUCCUUCACAACUUAAGCCAACUCCUAUUUCUCAUUCUUGACUGAUGUAUUUGGGGAAGGCAUUCUAAUUUUACCAAGAAUUGCCAUGAUGUCCAAUAUAUUCUUGCAGAGAAUUUUGAGCUUUCAUGCUCCAGGGAUGGUCAUGUGCAAGACUCUGCUUCUGCCUCUUCAGAUGAGAGAUUGCAAAGGAUCAGACCCUUUUUCUUCGCCAGAAGCAAACUUUCAAGGGGCAUAUAUCUCCUUUGUGAGAUGCAUGACCUCUUAAAGACAGUCGCCCUAGUCUGGUUGAGGAAUUCAAUUUCAACCUGAACGAAACGGAGGAAGAUUUACUAAAGAUGGAAGAGCAGCGAACGGAGAACGAUGUUUGAAAAUACAUGCAGAUGUGAGUCUUGGUGAAUCAAAGAGUACAGAGGCAGGAAUACUACAGCCGAUGUCAACCUGCCUGAAAUAUACACCCG